rnacentral:rRNA from 1 species
AGUGAACGCUGGCGGUAGGCCUAACACAUGCAAGUCGAACGGCAGCACAGGAGAGCUUGCUCUCUGGGUGGCGAGUGGCGGACGGGUGAGGAAUACAUCGGAAUCUACUCUGUCGUGGGGGAUAACGUAGGGAAACUUACGCUAAUACCGCAUACGACCUACGGGUGAAAGCAGGGGACCUUCGGGCCUUGCGCGAUUGAAUGAGCCGAUGUCGGAUUAGCUAGUUGGCGGGGUAAAGGCCCACCAAGGCGACGAUCCGUAGCUGGUCUGAGAGGAGGAUGAGCCACACUGGAACUGAGACACGGUCCAGACUCCUACGGGAGGCAGCAGUGGGGAAUAUUGGACAAUGGGCGCAAGCCUAAUCCAGCCAUACCGCGUGGGUGAAGAAGGCCUUCGGGUUGUAAAGCCCUUUUGUUGGGAAAGAAAUCCAGCUGGCUAAUACCCGGUUGGGAUGACGGUACCCAAAGAAUAAGCACCGGCUAACUUCGUGCCAGCCGCCGCCGUAA